GUUUCAAUUCCUUAUAGGUAAGAUUUAAAC
rfam:Bacillus smithii strain DSM 4216, complete genome.